rnacentral:rRNA from 1 species
AUUGAACGCUGGCGGCAGGCCUAACACAUGCAAGUCGAGCGGAUGAGAGGAGCUUGCUUCUCGAUUCAGCGGCGGACGGGUGAGUAAUGCCUAGGAAUCUGCCUGGUAGUGGGGGACAACGUUUCGAAAGGAACGCUAAUACCGCAUACGUCCUACGGGAGAAAGCAGGGGACCUUCGGGCCUUGCGCUAUCAGAUGAGCCUAGGUCGGAUUAGCUAGUUGGUGAGGUAAUGGCUCACCAAGGCGACGAUCCGUAACUGGUCUGAGAGGAUGGUCAGUCACACUGGAACUGAGACAGGGUCCAGACUCCUACGGGAGGCAGCUGUGGGGAAUAUUGGACAAUGGGCGAAAGCCUGAUCCAGCCAUGCCGCGUGUGUGAUGAAGGUCUUCGGAUUGUAAAGCACUUUAAGUUGGGAGGAAGGGUUGUAGAUUAAUACUCUGCAAUUUUGACGUUACCGACAGAAUAAGCACCGGCUAACUCUGUGCCAGCCGCCGCCGUAAUAC